UGCAGAGACAACAUUACACCUUGUCAUGACCAUUCAACCAGCCGCUGGUGGGCAGCAGGGAGCCAUCUGGUGGAAUGCUGCAGUACUGCUAGAUGGGGGCAGUUCCAUGGAUUACAGCUGUAAUUUGCCGGUGGUUUGCUUUGAGGACAUUCCCAGGCCUGACUGUCACGACCGUGUCUGUCACUGGGUGUAACUGAUCCCCACCUCGCCGACGCACCAGCGAACGCACUGCAGGCUGACUCAACAGACCGCACAGACUUCGGGGAAAAGAUUAUGCGGCCCAAUUAGAUCGGCAGGAACAAGAACGAGUCUUGUCCCACACCCGCAAAUCACAUGCAGGCGAGCAUCACUUCCUGACCAAGAAAGAACCAAAGGGACACUUGGACGUGCAUAGGAGGAAGGGACAGAGAAGGCACGAUGGACAGAUGGACUGAACCAAGACUCAAAAUUGAUGACAAGGACAGAGCACGGACGCUAAAGACACAAACAAAGGAAAAGGCCUGCUGGGAUGAGAUGCUUAGCUGCGCCGGCUCAAACGCACGGGCGGUACUUUCCCUUCAUUCUCGAGCUCCUCCGUGUGGAGGCCGCAUUCCCAGCACCACUCGGGGGGGGCUCCAGUGAGCGGGCCACGACACCAAACCCACCCGGAAUUCUAGGAACGUUUUCUCUUUGGUCUCAGGUUACCACACACACACACACACACACACUGAACACAGAUCAGAGGCAUGCGCGCACACACACACACACACACGCACGCACGCAACACCCUCCACAGUAGUGUACUGUACUUUUGUUGUUUGUACAGAGCUGGUUUUGUUGGCUUUCCCUCUCUCCUCCCGUACCUGUCAUUCAUUUUCAUUUUAAACACACAUACUGACAACUUGGACUAACGCUUCAACUCGCAGUUGGAUUCAAACCAGACUUCUUGUUCAGAAUCUCACUCGGAUGGUAAAUACCACACACUGAAAGCCCAAACCGGUACACACAUCCGCACUAAAACUCAAUCCUUGCCGACGCUCGCCACGGGCCCCAAAUUCAGCCUGGUAGGUUUACAUUACAUCACACAAAACUCGGCUCACAAUUCAUACAAAAAUCUGCACUCAAUCAAGCUCUUACUGACAUCGGUAAAGUCUGCUGUAUCCCCCAGGAAAAAGGAUAACCGUGUCCCUAAAAAUAGUCAUUACAGAGGGUUCAGCCCUGUAAGUCAGACAUGAUCAUGCUGUGUGCGCAUGGAUGUGUGUUGGGUCUGUGAACGUAUCGGGUGUAGAGCGCGAGCCGCCUGUGGCACACAGAAAAUGUGAUGGGCUAUAAGGCCGUAAUCCUGUGUCACCACGGCUACAGAGCGACGGAUCAAAGCGGAGGUUUGAAAGUGCAUUUUCUCUCAUCCUUUUGAAAAGCGUUAAAAAAUGCACAGCGUCCUGAGCGAGUCAGUAAGUGUUUCUGAUAUGGUUUGUAUAUAUGAGACUGUUUAAACCUGAGAAUAUAAGUCUAGUCCCUUUGUACAGAGAGCAAAGGGGAAGUUACAGGACCCAGAGUGUUGAGCCUCACUUUGUAAGUGAGAAUCAGGGUUUUCUUUGGUAUAAGCACAUUGAAGUUUGUGCCGCCUAUCAAAUUCCCACUUUUACACACGAGGGAUUGGAUGUAUACUGCAACCUCAUUUUGUACGCUUAAACCUGAAAAACUGAACUGAAACCCCAAAACAAACUUUAAUAGGAACCAGACUGUUGACACAGGCAGAGACAGCGAUUGCGACACCGCGAUAAGCAACACGGAGCGCGUGCCGAGCACUUCCCAUAUAGUUAUCGUGUCUUUUCAAAAGCCAUUUUAUGACGGCAGAGAAGAAAUUUUCUUCCUGGAGCAUUUAUUGUCGACUGUUUUUUUGUUUCGGGCUGUGUGGUAUUCAUAUUCACAUGUGAAUAUAAUCACUGGUGCCGACAUGAUUUUGGGGUUUUGUACUUUUUGUCAGCUUGCGUGCCGCGUCAGAAAUCCCUGUAAACAGAAAUACAGAAAUACUCGAGAGGCAAACACACACGCGGACCACAGCGACCGCUAUUGGCUUACCACCCAGACACGCAGCAGUGAGGACUUCAAACAGGCUCAUAGAUGCAAUUAAGUCACAAAGGCUGAGAGCUCUCCUAAAGCGACUUCUUCCUGCAGCCACUGACCCACAAUCCCUCAUUUUCUCCCUUCAGCCGCCCGACAGUGCACAUCUCCUUCCAGUCAUUGUUUUCGCAUCCAAACUUCCUUUCCCCCUGCACAGCAGGUUCAGCGCUCUGUUUCUCCUCCACCUCUCCCGCUAUGAGUUUGAUGCCUUGCCAAUGGGCAAGCACAGAGGUUAGUGGGUGCGCUCUGUCUACCUCGGCCAGUAGGAACCGCUCCAGUAAAACGUGCCUAUUGUGGCAUUUUAAUUAUAUUAGCUCAGCCCAAUCCACCGGCUGGAACAAAACAGAAAGGGCGAGGCCGUAAAACUGUGUCCCUCCUGUGAAAAGUGAUGGGAUUGAAAGCAGUUGGAAGCGUAUUUCACAAAAAUACAAACCAUAAAACUUAAACUUGAGGAGGCCGAAACGCAUAAACACUCUUCACUCAGAGGCACGUUGAGUUGCACAGUGAGGCCAAUAAAAAAAUCACAUUUUUGCCUCCAUAUUAUAUUAUAUAGUAUCACAUAUUAAUGCCAAAGUCUGGCAAUCCAAGCAUAUCAGCAAAGAGAAUAAAUGACGCACGGCUCCUGCGAUAUGAUUGCUGUUGUUUUCUCUUUCCCUCACAUGGACGCACACACACAACAUACGGAAGCAGGCUCACAGAGAGAGGUCAUGCUGAGGUCCCAGCCAUCAACCCGGGGUUAUGGGAAAGGGAUGGGCCACUGAAUCGGAGCUGAGGACACUCUGAGAGGGACAGGGGAAGGACCCAGAGGUCAUACGCAGACGCCAAAUGCAAAUGGCACAGGGCAAAAAGUUCGGUUGGAGCAAGUUAAUGCGUGUAUUCUACAACUCCUCAUUAUUUCUCUGAUGUCUGUUCUCACGACAUUACUGCACCACCAUGUCUGUGUUUAUGUCAACAUAAAGAGGAAUAAUACAAAACAUCAAACUGACUUGUGCACAUUGACAUGCAGGGACAGGGUCAGAGCAGGGAAUGUCCUUCCGCCGCACAAUAAUUCAUUGCCCCGCUGUGCAAGACUUUGAUUUUCUGAUUCCUUUGUAUUUUUCCAACUGAGCUCCUCUGACCCAAGAGACCAAGACAGACCGCAGUGGAGAUACAACUCUGAGUUGAUGGGACCUGAAGGGGCAAAAGUGAGUAAAAGGGGACACACACCCACUCAAGUUCAGACCUCAUCUCUACUGCAGUGACUCUUGCACUAUGCGGGGUUUUCGUUGUCCUAUUACUUCAAGUGAAUAAUCUUUACAAAUGAUCUGUGCUGAAUUCAAAUUAAACAACAAAAAAGUGAUGUGUGUUUUAGGCCCCAGUGCUGUGGGUUUUACCGUGGCGCUCUCUCGCUAUACAGAUCAAUCCGACGAAAGAUGGUAGUGAGCUGCCCACUAAGCAUUAUCAUCUCUGACAGUUGACUUAUUUCAAUGGAAAAAGACAGACGCACACUCUGCUUACAAAUACUGUGGGGAAUCGGCUCAAAACAAAUUGUGUCUAAGAAGCUGUUGAUAGGUGCCAAAGUCCAUCUAAAUAAUGUCUUAACACAUGCAGUCUGUGCAGAGACCGGCCACUUAGCAACGGCUGUGCCGAAAUGCAUCCGUGCCAUCUAAAUCUAUUACUGGCGCACCCAGCAGUGUCAUCAGAAAUGUCGGAGUAGCAGAGCUUCCCAUAAGAGCCGGCUGCCGGCCAAAAUAGUUUGCAACUCAUCUAAGUCCAGCCAGUUAAUUUAUUAUAUUCACUUU